rnacentral:rRNA from 1 species
UACGGAAUGUGCAAACGUUAUUCGGAAUCACUGGGCUUAAAGAGUCCGUAGGCGGCUUGUUAGGUGAGGUGUGAAAUCCCUCGGCCCAACCGAGGAAUUGCGCUUCAAACGGGCAAGCUAGAGGAGGAUAGAGGUGGGCGGAACUGAUGGUGGAGCGGUGAAAUGCGUUGAUAUCAUCAGGAACACCGGAGGCGAAGGCGGUCCACUGGGUCCUAUCUGACGCUGAGGGACGAAAGCUAGGGGAGCGAACGGG